GUAAAACAACCUUAACUUAUUCUCAAACUUUAAAUUGGUAAGAAGUCCGACUUGCUUAAUUGAAGCCGGACAGUGAAUGCGAGUUCCUAGUGGGCCAUUUUUGGUAAGCAGAACUGGCGAUGCGGGAUGAACCGAACGCGCGGUUAAGGUGCCAAAGUCGACGCUCAUCAGACCCCACAAAAGGUGUUGGUUGCUCUAGACAGCAGGACGGUGGCCAUGGAAGUUGGAAUCCGCUAAGGAGUGUGUAACAACUCACCUGCCGAAGCAACUAGCCCUGAAAAUGGAUGGCGCUCAAGCGUCGCACCUAUACCGUGCCGUCGGAGCAGAUGCGAAGCUCCGACGAGUAGGAGGGCGUGGGGGUCGUGACGCAGCCUCUGGCGCGAGCCUGGGUGAAACGGCCUCCAGUGCAGAUCUUGGUGGUAGUAGCAAAUAUUCAAAUGAGAGCUUUGAAGACCGAAGUGGAGAAAGGUUCCAUGUGAACAGCAGUUGGACAUGGGUUAGUCGAUCCUAAGAGAUAGGGAAAUUCCAUUUGCAAGCGCCCGAUCUUGGGCCGCCUAUCGAAAGGGAAUCGGGUUAAUAUUCCCGAACCGGGACGCGGAUAUUGCCGUUCGCGGCAGAUGCGGUAACGCAAACGAACACGAAGACGCUGGCGGGGGCCCUGGGAAGAGUUCUUUUUUCUUUUUAACGAGCUUUCACCCUGAAAUCAGCUUGCCUGGAAGCGGCCCCUGCAUUUUUUCUGUGAAAAAAACUACACCUGUAUGACAACUAAACCACUUAUCUCCUCCUCCCCCCUAGGAGGGUGGUUAGGAGAAACGAGCGGAAAAAAAAAGAGAACAACUUUUAACGGUGGAUCUCUUGGCUCGUGCAUCGAUGAAGAACGCAGCCAGGUGCGAUAAGUAGUGUGAAUUGCAGAAUUCAGUGAAUCAUCGAAUCUUUGAACGCAAAUGGCGCUCUUGGGUUUUCCCAGGAGCAUGUCUGUCUGAGUGUCGGUUUCCAAAAAGAGAACUCUCUCUUCUAAU
rfam:Nematostella vectensis strain CH2 x CH6 NEMVEscaffold_233_Cont19942, whole genome shotgun sequence.